ensembl:snoRNA SNORD15 Small nucleolar RNA SNORD15
CUUCAGUGAUGAUACGAUGACGAGUCAGAAGCGGACACCUCCCUGCUCGGCGUGGGCGGCUCAGAGCCACGUUCUGUGGCACUGUGUGCGCUGCCCCGGCAAAGGUGUCCUGUGCAUUGGAUGAUCAAGAGGCAUUUGUCUGAGAAGG